rnacentral:rRNA from 1 species
UACGUAGGGACCAAGCGUUGUUCGGAUUUACUGGGCGUAAAGGGCGCGUAGGCGGCUUAACAAGUCACUUGUGAAAUCUCCGGGCUUAACUCAGAACGGCCAAGUGAAACUGUCAAGCUAGAGUGCAGAAGGGGCAAUCGGAAUUCUUGGUGUAGCGGUGAAAUGCGUAGAUAUCAAGAGGAACACCUGAGGUGAAGACGGGUUGCUGGGCUGACACUGACGCUGAGGCGCGAAAGCCAGGGGAGCAAACGGG